rnacentral:lncRNA from 1 species
UGAAGGAGAGAGCAGAAGAAGAGCGGGAGUGUGAUUACUGUCUGUUUACUGUUAUUACAGGAGAAUGGCCGACCUGGGGGACAUCAGCAACCACAUCCAGGACAGCAUAUCUUCCUUAAGAUUCCUCCUGGACCUGUCACUACUGGAUUCACCGCAAGUGAAGAUGGAGAAACUCGAAGAAGGACUCUGUGUGCUUGAGAGACAUCUGGAGAGGUUUGAAAGCUGUGUUGAGAAACAGGAAGAGCACCUGAAAGAUCUGAAGGAACUUGAGAAGUUGAGUCAGAUGUAUUUGGAAGACGUUGAGCGCAUGAAGGACAAUGUGCCUCCGCACAUGCCUCA